GGGGGUUCGUGGAGUCCCUGGCUUGCACCAAGGGUGCGUGUCUACACCACCGUGGGCACCGCAAAGCGGCAAGAAGUGCCCCGGGACACGGGGACAGGACGCCAGGCUUGCAGGGGAACGUUGAGGCAAUGCGGUGAAAAAAGUGGACUUCCACUAGACCUGAAAACAAGACCUGAAUACCCACUGAAACGGUGCUGCCUGCUUUCUAAAGAAGCCAACACUCCUCAAUAUAGUUGCUUCCUCUGAUUGCUCGCUUCCUUCCUCUGAUUCGAUGUAGUUAUAACUACUUAGAGGAACCACAGCUGUAUGGGAGUCCAUCUGCAAAGGAAUCUGAAAAUGGUGAUGGACUAUUUAUCAACUUGCUCCAUAAUCCGUUUAGAGUUAAAGAGGACCACAGAAACUCCACCUCCAGGUGUCACAGGUUACUAAACACAAUAACUAAAACAAAUUAAAAAACUUAUCUCAGAUUCCCUCCUGGAGUCUACUGCCUUGCUUAUACAGUUGGACGACAAAGUCAGCCACUGCCUGAAUUCAUAUUCUGCACUAUGUGAUUCAGGAAACAACGUUAUGCUUCUCCUAUGUUCCCAAUAUGCUGGACAUCAGGUGUGGGUAAUAACAGUACCAUGAUUUUCCUUUGGAGACUCCAAAUCCUCAGUCCAAAUGACUUUAUUCCACUUAUAACUCCAUAGAAGCCAUGAAAUCCAGACCUCAGUACAGACGGUGACUUCCAUGAACUUAGCUAAAAUUUUUGGACAAAGUUUACUCCCUCUGGAUUCUAAAUGGAUAGGGUAAUGUUGCUGGCUCAGUGAAGCACCUUCUGAGCCUACUGAAGCAGGAGCCGAUGCUGAGGCAGAACUGAAAGAUGCAGAGGCAGAGUCCGGAUAACACUGUCUGAACACCUGAAAACACACUGAACACUGAUGAAUUUUACUGUUCCGUUUUAGCCCAAGGUCAGUAAGCAUCUUCUGUAAAGGGCUAGAUUGCAAAUAUUUUAGGUUUUAUGGAACAUAAGGUUUGGGUGCAACUAUUAAGCUCCAGUGUCGGAUAUGGCUGUGUUGCAAUUAAACUUGAUUUACAAAAACAG
rnacentral:lncRNA from 1 species